ensembl:misc_RNA Metazoa_SRP Metazoan signal recognition particle RNA
GCUGGGUAUGGUGGCGCAUGCCUGUAACCCCAGCUACUCAGGAGGCUGAGGCAGGAGAAUUGCUCGAACCCGGGAGGCGGAGGUAGCAGUGAGCCCAGACUGCACCACUGCACUCCAGCCUGGGUGACAGAGCAAGACUCUGUCUUAA